rnacentral:rRNA from 1 species
UACGUAGGGGGCAAGCGUUGUCCGGAAUCAUUGGGCGUAAAGAGCGUGUAGGCGGUUCGGUAAGUCGGCUGUGAAAGUCCAGGGCUCAACCCUGGGAUGCCGGUCGAUACUGCCGGACUAGAGUUCGGAAGAGGCGAGUGGAAUUCCCGGUGUAGCGGUGAAAUGCGUAGAUAUCAAGUGGAACACCAGUGGCGAAGGCGAGUCUCUGGACAUUUCCUGACGCUGAGGCACGAAAGCCAGGGGAGCAAACGGG